ensembl:lncRNA
AAUCAUUUUUCCCUCUUCUAUCCCCUGAAAUACUUUUCUUUGCCACUAGAGCAGGGAAAACUCUUUUUAAAAGAUCAACAUCAGAACACAUCACUGUUCUUUUUUUCAGCUGCAGUGUUCCUAAGACUCUGAUUAUACAUGCUUAGCACUCAGCUGGGGUAGUUUUUAUUAUGAGAUUUGGUAGCAGUUCAGAUAUUGAGCAAAAGUACAUUUGUGUUGCCACUGCAACACUGAAAAACUGUGAAUUCACUGGUAAGGGUCAAUGCAUGGCGUUCUUACCUCCGUGUCUGGAGAAGUCACCCAUUUUCAGGGAGAAGCCUGGAUGCAGCUGUUGUUCAUUUCUAGAAGUGAUAUGCAUCUCUUAACCUCCUCUUGUAUCUCAAGGCAUCAAACUGUCACCACAGUAGGUAGUGUUAAU